UUGGCCAAGAGUAGGUUUUGGUUAGUAGACAGGGUUUGGUUAUGAAUUGGAAUUUGAAGCUGGUUUUUAAUUAGGGUUUUGAGCUGGGAAACGGUAAUGUUGGGGUUGUCGACGGAGACGCGCUCAAGGCCGUCUCGGCUACGAAUUCUAAGCAUCAUCAUGGCAGGUGAAGAUCAAAAGAUGCGAUCCGUGAAUUAGGAAAUUUUGAAGAGUUUUGAGGGAUUUAUGGAGGGAAUUGAAGAGAACUAAUGCUUGGAGUGCAGAGAACGAAAGCUUUUUGCACAGCUUGCUUAAUGUGU
rnacentral:misc_RNA from 1 species